rfam:Gossypium hirsutum cultivar TM-1 unplaced genomic scaffold scaffold280.1, whole genome shotgun sequence
AGUUAAAAUUUUCAAUCAAUUCUAUUGUUAAAAACCGGCGUGGCUAAUAGAAUAACCCGACAAUACCUCAUUCUGACAUACAAGGACCAGUUUUUAACAGUAGAAAUGAAUGGAAUUUUUAACA